GAGUUUGAUCGUGGCUCAGGACGAACGCUGGCGGCGCGCUUAACACAUGCAAGUCGAGCGAGAACCAGGCCUUCGGGCCUGGGGAAAGCGGCGAACGGGUGAGUAACACGUGGGUAACCCACCCUUGGUAUCGGGAUAGCCCGGGGAAACCCGGAUUAAUACCGGAUGGCCCAACAGCUCUUCGGGGCGGUUGGAAAAGGUAGCUUCGGCCUCCGACCAAGGACGGGCCCGCGGCGGAUUAGCUUGUUGGUGGGGUAACGGCCCACCAAGGCGACGAUCCGUAGCUGGUCUGAGAGGACGAUCAGCCACACUGGGACUGAGACACGGCCCAGACUCCUACGGGAGGCAGCAGUGGGGAAUCUUGCGCAAUGGGCGAAAGCCUGACGCAGCGACGCCGCGUGGGGGAAGAAGGCUUUCGGGUUGUAAACCCCUUUCAGGAAGGACGAAGCCACUCGGGUUAAUAGCCCAGAGGGUGACGGUACUUCCAGAAGAAGCCCCGGCUAACUACGUGCCAGCCGCCGCCGU
rnacentral:rRNA from 1 species